UACGUAGGGGGCAAGCGUUAUCCGGAAUUACUGGGCGUAAAGAGUGUGUAGGCGGUGCUCUAAGUUCGGUGUGAAAUCUCCCGGCUUAACUGGGAGGGUGCGCCGGAAACUGGAGUGCUCGAGCGUGGGGGAGGAAAGCGGAAUUCCUGGUGUAGCGGUGAAAUGCGUAGAUAUCAGGAGGAACACCUGCGGUGUAGACGGCUUUCUGGACCAUUGCUGACGCUGAGACACGAAAGCGUGGGUAGCAAACAGG
rnacentral:rRNA from 1 species